ACCACUGAAAGCUGGCAGCUUUUUAGGCCACCUGGUACAAAGGUCAAAGCAGGACACCAAAUGUGGGCUCCAUUUGUUCCAGAUCGAUCCCCUGUUACAUAAGAAAUCUCUCAAGGAAAACUGACCUGACGAGGAGAUGGAAUCACUGACACCGGAUGUCUC